UUUAGCUGAUACUUUAGCUGAGUUGAAGGUGAUGGUGCUACGAUCUCAAAGUGAUGAGAUACUAUUAUCGAAUAGGUUCCCCAUCACUUAUGAAAAAUAUUGAGAAUCAAUACAUAUAUGUAAAGAUUAUAGCAUCAAUUAUAAAAGGAGAGGAAAUAUCGAAAUGUUUAAAAUGUUAUCGGUUCAAAUAUUACUACGAGUAUAAUAUUGAGGGAAACCAUGGAAAAAAGUUUGAAGUCUCUAAGUAAUAUAUACAGCGUUAUUUUAGAUUCAAUACCAGUUACAGAAUAUUCGGACACCCCUGAAACACAACUGCGAAAAGCAAUACAAAUGCUUUUAUAAAUAUUAAAUUAAAUUUAUAUUUGUUCAAGUUUUAUAGAGUAAGGUAUAUUUGUAUUCAUUUGUUUGCAAUAAAAAAAUGAAUUAAAACUAAAAAUUAGAAUUUCACUAACAAUAAUUGGUACUGAACUAGUUCAUGGGAAACCAGUUUAAAAUUGGUCUGCUUAUACUAGAUAAGGGAUAGUCAAAUGACACUAGUACAUAACUGUAUACAUAGAACUAGUUAAAAGGUAGUCUGCUGACACUAGUCUGUGGCUGUGUACUUGGAACUUGGUAAGGGUUAGUCUUUUGUCACUGGUAUAUGACUGUAAACCUGGAACUAGUAAAGUACCAUCUACAGGUAAUGCAAA